CCGGAUGGAAGGUUGAGCCAAACCAUGAACCAUGCCGAAAAUCCGGCGGCGCCAGGCUGUGGGGAUGAUGGGUCUUGGCUGCCCGUCAGAGGGUAAUGUUGAUGCUUUUGCACCGACC